AACAAAAUUUAGUCGAGAAACAGAUUUCUGGUACAUGAAUACUGUUUCCAUAGCAAUUCCAUUGUAAGCGUUGGGGGAGGGGAACACCCACUGAAUACAGCUAAGUAUUCUGGCAGCUGCUUAUUCUCCAGGUAUCUACCUUCGUAGUGGCUAGGCCUCCCGCUUUUCUGUAGAUACCACGGCAGGGGCUUGGACUCUGGUUUACACCAGUUCAGAUCUAUGCAAUGUUUGUCGCGUUGCUCGCCACUCUAGACUCCACAAGCAUAGAGCAUGGUCGUACAACAUCUAUAUUUUAAAGCCUGGCCUGAAAAGAUGUACAUCUCCACUCCACACAUCCACAUCAUCUCAAUACCCCAGCAGGAAGAGCGUGCCCCGGAGUGCAUACCCCAGCGUGCGUCAUGCGUGAGCACAAAAGCAGAGUCAUCCUUCUUGGUCAAAGCUCUUACCAGUAACAAGACUGCUGAAAUGAUGAGGAAUCAAAAGAAGACACUAGAACUUUCCAGGAUUGUACAUCUUAGACUGCUCACUCCUGCAUAUGGUCCCUGCUCCAGGGGAUGUAUACCUCUGAAUCCUGUGGCCCAGAGAGCUUACCCCAAUGCCACGAUUCACAAACGGUACACUUGAGAAAGGAGCGCUCCCUCGACACUA